rnacentral:rRNA from 1 species
CCAGACUCCUACGGGAGGCAGCAGUGGGGAAUAUUGCACAAUGGGGGGAACCCUGAUGCAGCAACGCCGCGUGGGUGAAGAAGUACUUCGGUAUGUAAAGCCCUGUCAGCAGGGAAGAAAAUGACGGUACCUGACCAAGAAGCCCCGGCUAACUACGUGCCAGCAGCCGCGGUAAUACGUAGGGGGCAAGCGUUAUCCGGAUUUACUGGGUGUAAAGGGAGCGUAGACGGCAAGGCAAGUCUGGAGUGAAAGCCCGUGGCUCAACCACGGGACUGCUCUUGGAACUGCGUGGCUGGAGUGCAGGAGGGGCAGGCGGAAUUCCUGGUGUAGCGGUGAAAUGCGUAGAUAUCAGGAGGAACACCAGUGGCGAAGGCGGCUUGCUGGACGAUGACUGACGUUGAGGCUCGAAAGCGUGGGGAGCAAACAGGAUUAGAUACCCUUGUA